CCUGUGGAUGAUGCAAUGCACAAGGCUCCGGUUGCAGCUCUGGAUUGGCUAGUUCCCAGAGGCCGCACCGCGCACUGGCUGAAGUGGAGUGGGGGCGGGGCCGGUGGGCGUGGGUGCCGCGUGGCAGAUGCAGAGGGCCGGACCGUCGCGCGUGUAGCUGCUGCAUACAGUUUGCAGCUGCCCUGCAAAGCCGGCGCUAUCUGUGAAGGCUGUGGGUCCUGGAUCUCCGGACAUGAGCGUGGGUUUCAUCGGGGCCGGGCAGCUGGCUUUUGCCCUAGCCAAGGGCUUCACAGCAGCAGGUGUUCUGUCUGCUCACAAGAUAAUGGCCAGCUCCCCAGACAUGGACCAAGCCACGGUCUCUGCCCUCCGGGCUCUCCCUCAGCUUUGAGGGCAGACAGCCCACGAGGCAAGCUGAGUCCCCUUGCGCUCCUGCAGAGGAUAGGGGUGAACCUGACACCCCACAACAAAGAGACAGUGCGCCACAGUGACGUGCUCUUCCUGGCCGUGAAGCCGCACAUUAUCCCCUUCAUCCUGGAUGAAAUCGGUGCUAACAUUGAGGACAGGCACAUUGUGGUGUCCUGUGCGGCAGGUGUCACCAUCAACUCCAUUGAAAAGAAGCUGACGGCGUUCCAGCCAGCUCCCAAAGUCAUCCGCUGUAUGACCAACACCCCAGUGGUAGUGCGGGAGGGUGUCACUGUGUACGCCACAGGCACUCACGCUCAGGUGGAGGAUGGCAGGCUCGUGGAGCAGCUCAUGGGCAGCGUGGGCUUCUGCACAGAGGUGGAGGAGGAUCUGAUCGAUGCUGUCACGGGGCUCAGUGGCAGCGGCCCUGCCUAUGCUUUCACUGCCCUGGAUGCUCUCGCUGAUGGUGGUGUGAAAAUGGGGCUUCCGAGGCGCCUGGCUGUCCGCCUGGGGGCCCAGGCCCUCCUGGGGGCAGCUAAGAUGCUACUAGACUCAGAACAGCAUCCAGGCCAGCUCAAGGACAAUGUCUGCUCUCCUGGUGGGGCCACCAUCCAUGCCUUGCAUGUGCUGGAGAGUGGGGGCUUUCGCUCCCUGCUUAUCAAUGCUGUGGAGGCCUCCUGCAUCCGUACACGGGAGCUACAGUCCAUGGCUGACCAGGAAACUGUCUCCCCUGCUGCCAUCAAAAAGACUGUACUGGACAAGGUGAAACUGGAGUCCUCUGCUGCGGCCUCUCUGUCUUCUUCUGGCCAUAUUAAGUCACUGCCCGAGUGACUCAUCUGCCCACAUUCCUCCUGCUCUCUGCCUUCUCUUCUUUUCUUUCUCUUCCUUUCCCUUUUCCCCCCUUUUUGUUCUUUUUGUUUCUUUCUUUCUUUCUUGAGACAAGGUUUCUCUGUGUAGCCCUGGAUUAGUACUCACUCUGUAGACCAGGCUGGCCUUGAACUAACAGUUUUUGGGACUUCAACCUCUACCAAGGAUCCCACCAGGCAUUUGGGGAAAAGGGGCUUCUCAGGUAGCUAAUGAAACUUUAGCUCGUUCCUGAACUAACUCACCAAAUACUGUUACUUCUCUUCCUAUCCUUUCAGUUGAAUAAAAACAUUUUCUCAAACA